CUUUUCGAGGUAGGAGUCGACUCCUGUGAGGUAUGGUGCUGGGUGCAGAUGCAGUGUGGCUCUGGAUAGCACCUUAUGGACAGUUGUGUCCCCAAGGAAGGAUGAGAAUAGCUACUGAAGUCCUAAAGAGCAAGCCUAACUCAAGCCAUUGGCACACAGGCAUUAGACAGAAAGCUGGAAGUUGAAAUGGUGGAGUCCAACUUGCCUGGACCAGCUUAAUGGUUCUGCUCCUGGUAACGUUUUUAUCCAUGGAUGACUUGCUUGGGUAAGGACAUGAAGACAGUUCCUGUCAUACCUUUUAAAGGUAUGGAGAGUCGGCUUGACUACACUGUGUGGAGCAAGUUUUAAAGAAGCAAAGGUAUAGCAGUUCCAAGUAUUUUUUUUUUUUUUUUAGACAAGAGUCUAGCUCUUGCCCAGAAUGGAGUGCAGCGGCACUAUCAGUUCACUGCAACCUCUGCCUCCCAGGUUCAAGGAAUUCUCCUGCCUCAGCCUCUUGAGUAGCUGGGAUUACAGGCAUGUGACACCAUGCCUGGCUAAUUUUGUACAGCUAUGUUGUCCAGGCUGGUCUCGAACUCUUGACCUCAAGUGAUACUGCCCGCACUGACCUCCCAAAGUGCUGGGAUUACAGGCGU
rnacentral:lncRNA from 10 species